rnacentral:rRNA from 1 species
UACGUAGGGGGCGAGCGUUGUCCGGAUUUACUGGGCGUAAAGCGCACGCAGGCGGUGCUGCGCGUUUGGGGUUACAGCUCCCGGCUCAACCGGGAGAGCGCCUCGAAGACGGCAGCACUUGAGGGCCAGAGAGGGACACGGAACUCCGGGUGGAGUGGUGAAAUGCGUAGAUAUCCGGAAGAACACCAAAGGCGAAGGCAGUGUCCUGGCUGGUACCUGACGCUCAGGUGCGAAAGCUAGGGGAGCGAAUGGG